rnacentral:tRNA from 1 species
GGGGGUGUAGCUAAGUGGUAGAGUAUGUGCUUAGCAUACAUGAGAUCCUGGGUUCGAUCCCCAGUACCAACG